AAUGGAAUGGUUGUAUUACGAAGUCUCACCAGUCAAAAGGCACCGCCUUUCCUUCUUCGCCGAGUCCUUCCAUUUUCAUUCCAUCCAAACACACACGAGCUCUGUUUUCCCUUCACCUCCCCUCUCCACGAUUUUCCCUUCAUAAAACGUGGGAGAUUGAUUCCUCAACCCCAAGUCCUAAAUUUCCUCUUUAAGAACACAUUACAUUUCUUUCCCCCAUUUUAAUAUAAAUCAUCCGUUUGAUUUGUAAGAUACAAAUCUGUGGUUCUGUGCAUCUCUUUUUGAGCAUGUUUCAAAGAAACCCAUCUUAUUCUAACCCAACACCAUGCAAUCAUCUAGCUGAUUACAAGCUCAGAUAUGGCUUAAACGGCUAUAAAUCCUUUCAAAAUCACCUUAAAACUACCCCAAAUGGAAGAACUAGUAUUCAAAACCCCGAUUCGAAGCUACCCAGAUGCGGUUCUUGCGAUGGGUAUGAAGGGAGGCUCUACAUAUGCUUGAUUUGUGCUUCAAUCUCUUGCUCAAAUCAUACCCUUCUUCACAACCAGUCCGAAAACGGCCAUGAUUUGGCCGUCGACGUUGAGAGAGCGGAGCUUUAUUGUUAUGCUUGCUCCGAUCAGGUUUACGACCCUGAUUUUGAUCGGACGGUGAUGUCGAAGCACAUCGUCGCCGCCGUACUGGAGAAAUCGCAAUCGGCGGAGAGAUCGAGUAAGAGGAGGAGAUUUGGAUCGAUAGAUUUAUUGGAUUUGAAGAAAUUGAAACCGUUGAUGUCUGUUAAAGAUCAGCGGUCGAAAUCGUGCUAUCCUUUGGGAUUGAGGGGAUUGAAUAACUUGGGGAAUACUUGUUUUAUGAACUCUGUUCUUCAAGUGUUUCUUCAUACUCCGCCUUUGAGCAAUUACUUCUUGAAUGAUCAGCACAACAGGGAAACUUGCAGCAAAAGACCCAUUGGGCAGCUGUGUUUACCUUGUGACAUUGAUCGUAUUUUUUCUGCUGUGUUUUCUGGUGAUCAUAUGCCUUAUAGUCCAGCUCAAUUUCUUUACAGUUGGUGGCAGCACUCUGCAAAUUUAGCAUUUUAUGAGCAGCAGGAUGCCCAUGAGUUCUUCAUCUCAGUUCUAGACCGAAUCCACGAGCGAGAAUGGAAAUCUAGGAGCCAAGAUAAAGAGAAUGGGGACUGCAAAUGCAUUGCUCACAAGGCCUUCUCUGGGCAGUUGAGAUCAGACGUGACCUGUAUGACCUGUGGAUUCACUUCAACAACUUACGAUCCAUGUGUGGAUAUUUCACUUGACUUGGACACCCACGAUUUCUUGUCUAGAAAUAUUGCUAGCAAGUCGACGAAGCCCGUGGAUUCCAGCAGUAAAUCUACGCUAUCUGGUUGUUUGGAUCUUUUUACGAGACCCGAAAAGCUGGGAUCGGACCAGAAACUUUUCUGCCAGAAUUGUCAAGAAAUGAGAAGUUCAGUGAAGCAAAUGUCUAUCAGAAGGCUGCCAUUGGUCUUGUGUUUGCAUAUCAAACGAUUCGAGCACUCUUUUGUCAGACGAACGUCGAGAAAAAUUGAUCGGUAUUUGCAGUUUCCUUUCUCCCUCGACAUGAUCCCGUAUUUGUCGUCUUCGAUUAUCAGAAACAGAUAUGGGAAUAGGAUUUUUGCUUCUGAGGGAGAUGAAAUAGAUGCUUCGUCGAAGUUUGAGAUUUUCGCUGUGGUUUCUCAUUCGGGGACGCUCGAGUCUGGUCAUUAUGUGACAUACUUGCGUCUGAGAAGUCAAUGGUAUAAGUGUGACGAUGCCUGGAUCACCGAAGUCGAUGAGGAAAUGGUGAGAAAUUCUCAGUGUUAUAUGAUGUUUUAUCUACAGAAAAUACCAAACUACAAACUGAAUGAGGAUUUGAGCUGCCUUCCUAUUUCCCCGCGCAACGAUACAUUCCAACAAAUUGCUGGUUGCUGUUAACAGCGGGAUUCGUCGAGAUUUGCCGAAGUUUUCCAUAUUAUGCAUCACACAUUGAAGGCCGACUAAGGAUCAAAAUGAAAGGCAGCGCCAGAAUUUCGUCACAGGGAACGUGAUGUUAAGCUGGUCGCUAAGGCUCAAACGGCAGGACGAUAUGAUAUCGAAAUAUCGAAAACGUUGUGGAUUGGUAUCUUGAAAGAUGAAGAUGGGUACUACAAAUUGGUCAUGUGUAUGUCAAAAUUUAAAACUUUAUACAAGUUUAUUAAAGGCCUCGCUCAUCAA